rnacentral:tRNA from 1 species
AGAGCCGUAGUCAAGCGGAUAAGACAGCAGUUUUUGACACUGCGAUACGGCGGUUCAAAUCCGUCCGGCUCUG